UUUUUCUAUCUACCUGCCAUUUUGACUAACACUCUCCUAUCUUGAUGGAUGACAUCCCCAUCCUGAGCUGCACUCUCUCCAAAAGAAUCCAACUUUUGCUGCCAAAUCUGCCUGAGAGACAUAAAACAGAUCAUCUGUCUCCUUGGAAACUGCACACUCCUCCAACCAGCGUCUGGCUGACUCCACAAAGCAUUACUUCAUCUGUACCUGAGACCGCCCAUGAUGCCACUCCUACCAGGACCGUCCAUCCUUCAUCAUAGGAAAAUCGUCACAACCAAGAAUAUAAUCUAUUGUUUCAUCCCUUUAAUUUUUGCCGUCACCCAUAGCAACCUGGAAUUAUGUUUGCCACAACAGGAGCCAUUUCUUCUUCUAUUUCUGGAGGUACUGAUAAUAUGCUUUACUUCAGUUCAUUCAGGAGGAACAUUGUCACUGUCACAAAUAUGCAUGUUAUUCACAUAUGUGCAAUAGGGGUAUAUUGGUGAAAUUUCCCUUUAACUGUGUGGGUAAGGGAUUAUGGAAUGUGGGUGAUGAUAUCUGGUCUUCGUCACUGGAACAUCCCCUAUCCGGUGCUGGUGUUAUCCAUGUAUAUGAUGUACACCAAUUAUAUAUACCCUAUACACAGGGGACUGCUAUGUCUCUGCCCCGGAGUGUAUGCUCUGUAUGGAUCAGUGGCGACACUAUUUCUCUUGAUAUGCAUAUUUCAAUAUGGCUGAAAAUCAAUUUACCUGCUGAGCAAAUCUUGCAACUGAAGCACCGAUGUACUUCAUUUAACCAAAGAUGCUAUACUAAUCCCGUUGCUAAGGACGCUUGUCUCUAUGCGGAAUUGCCCUUCUGCUGUGCGUCUCUAAGAAUGCUCUCUUGCUAAAAGUGAGCAUGCACGAAGAACGAUGCUAGAUGCGGCAACACAUAGGUUGCUAUGGACGCUCUGUGACGGAGUCUGAACACCGGAAGUCGAUUUUUUAUCACUGUGUGAGGCUGAAACCAUGUGUAUUCGGCAUCCCGGAAGGAGGGUGUCAUGGUAGCGGCUCAGGAGGACCGGACUGGGACUGAGAUUUGGACCCGGGCCCUAGAAAGCACAUGGACUCACCUGCUGCAUGUUUGUAGGUUUCAAGAACGCACGAUUCUAUCUCGCCUCGCAAGAUAGAUUGGGACGCGUAUGGACAAGAACUAUUGCGAUGGACUAAACAGAACGGGAUGAUAAGAAUCGACAGCAGAGCGGACAAGUUAUUGGCUACGUUUUAAACCGGGGAGCAGCAGAUAUCUUGUAAAUGAAUGCUAUGUAUAUCAUUACGUCAUUGCACUAUUUACAAAUGGGAAUGAAUAAAAUAAAUAAAUAACUAAAUCCUUAAAUAAAUAAACAAACAAAUGCAAACAAACAAAUAAACAAAUAUUUAUGUUUUAUCUGCAAUUUCUAUUCAACGGAAGUGAUACAAUAAAAUCCUCUCCGUCUGUAACUGCUGAUAGAGAAUGAUACUGCAGUCAAGCUGAUACCUAUACGGUAUAUUGGCUUAAUGAUACAUUAACUUGCAUUAAAAAAAAAAAAUGGCGUCACAAUUGUAUAGAUAAAACAUGUCAAUUUUCCUUAAUGAACUUCGCCGCUUAUCUGCUUUAUGUUUUAUAUAGUAAUAUCUAAACAAUUAGAAAUUUUCCAAGGCGAUCGGAUCAUCUAUUGAUCGGAUCUUUUAGCUUAGUGUUUCCCAACCAGGGUGCCUCCAGCUGUUGCGAAACUACAACUCCCAGCAUGCCUGGACAGCCGUCGG